AGACACUCUUAUGGGGCAAGACUUGCUUCAGUGUGGCUUUGUUGCUCACUGAGUCUGACCCCUGAGUGUGUCUCU
rnacentral:pre_miRNA from 1 species